UUUUACUUUAUUUCCUGGUGUAUUGUGUAUUUUCACUAAAAACUUGCAUAUUUUGAAAGGUUGAAUAAUGCACUAGAGAAAGAUGCUUCAAAUAUGUAAAGCGGAUAAAAUGACUUUGUCAGUUCAAGGAUACAAGGGAAAUAUAAAGCGGAUAAAAUGACUUUGUCAGUUCAAGGAUACAAGGGAAAAUGUAAAGCGGAUAAAAUGACUUUGUCAGUUCAAGGAUACAAGGGAAAAUGUAAAGCGGAUAUAAUGACUUUGUCAGUUCAAGGAUACAAGGGAAAAUGUAAAGCGGAUAUAAUGACUUUGUCAGUUCAAGGAUACAAGGGAAAAUGUAAAGCGGAUAAAAUGACUUUGUCAGUUCAAGGAUACAAGGGAAAAUGUAAAGCGGAUAUAAUGACUUUGUCAGUUCAAGGAUACAAGGGAAAAUGUAAAGCGGAUAAAAUGACUUCGUCAGUUCAAGGAUACAAGGGAAAAUGUAAAGCGGAUAUAAUGACUUUGUCAGUUCAAGGAUACAACGGAAAAUGUAAAGUGGAUAUAAUGACUUUGUCAGUUCAAGGAUACAAGGGAAAAUGUAAAGCGGAUAUAAUGACUUUGUCAGUUCAAGGAUACAAGGGAAAAUGUAAGUGGAUAUAAUGACCUCGUCAGUUCAAGGAUACAAAGGUUAAAAGUAAGAUAACAAAAAUACCGAACUCCAAGGACAAUUCAAAAUGGAAAGUCCUUUAUCAAAUGGCAAAAUCAAAAACUCAAACACAUCAAACGAAUGGAAAACAACUGUCAUAUUCCUGACUUGGUACAGGCAUAUCCUUGUGUACAAAAUGGUGGAUUAAAUCUGGUUUUAUAGCUAGCUAAACCUCUCACUUGUAUGACAGUCGCAUAGGAUUUCAUUAUAUUGACAACAAUGUGUGAGCAAAACAAACAGAUAUAAUAGGUAAAAAUGUCAAAAAUUGGGGUACAGCAGUCAACAUUGCGUUAUAAUCUUAAUCACUAUAAAACUAACUAUUUCAACAACAACAAAAUAAUUGAAUAGACACUCUAUAGACAAAGUACAUGUCAAAAAUGAAAGACAAGAAUACGAAAAUGACCAUAGCACAAUAACACAAUGGCGAAAUGUAUAAAUACCGAACCACGCCAAAAGUAUAUUACAAAAAAAAUAACUAAACAGUAAAGGUCAACAAUACAUAAAGAAAAAGAAAAAGAACACUAUAACACGUAAUUAAGAUGAUAAACAACGUCAGUACCUAGAAUCUAUACUUCAAGACAUGUAUUAUUUGUGAAGUUGAUACGGAAUAUUUAUCAACAAGGUCUUGGAAUCUUCCGAUGAACUUUUUCAGAAAAAGAACGAGACGUUCUUUGACAUAACCCUGGUUCAUCAACUUUCUGCUCAGACACUGGUGAUUUUAUAAAGUCUGAGUAGCAGCUGCAAGCUCUUGGAUGUAAAGCGGAUAUGACCUUGCCAGUUCAAAGAUACAAGGAAAUAUGUAUAGCGGAUAUAAUGACCUUGUCAGUUCGAGGAUACAAGGGAAAAUGUAAAGUGGAUGUAAUGACCAUGUCAGUUCAAGGAUACAAGGGAAAAUGUAAAGCCGAUAUAAUGACCUUGUCAGUUCAAAGACACAUCCACACCCUCAUAAUACACUUCAAUGGCUUCAGACAACAGCGUUUGAAAAAAUAUUUUUUUUCUGGCAAAGGAAAUGAACAAUCUCCAGCAACAUGAUCAUAUCUAUUCUGUUCUAUACUACGUAUCAUCAUAUGUCAUAUUAAGUGAAGUAUUGCGAAGCACGUAUGGAACGGAUAUGUGCGGUGCAGGACAUUGGGAAAGGAUAUGAAUCAAAGAUGAUUAGAUAGACAGCUCCAUUUACGUGUGGUAACAGUUCAUGAAAAAUACAAAUAUUUUUAUAAGUAGCAUUUAAAGUUAGUCUUAAACAAGGAAAGUCGUCUAUGAAAAAUAGAGCAUAUGUGUGGUCAUUGUUUAUAAAAAAAAAUCCAUAAUGAUCAACCAAGUUGUGAUGGCGUUUGGAUACACUUUAAUUUACUAUCAAAGAAUACUGUUCAGUUCACAUGUAUGAGGAUCUGAAUAUGAAGGGACAAAAAAAAGGGGGGUGGCUCAUCAAUUGUGUGUUCUUUAACCUUUAGAGGGCCAUAUUUUUGUGUUCUUUCCCAUACAGACUCUUUUCGUAUUUGAUUUCACCUAUUAUUUCUUCCUUUGUAUCUUUUAAACAACAAAACAAGUGAUAAACAGUAGUGAUAUCUAACCUUCUUAUAAGUGUAUCCGAUAUAUAAUUUGUGCAAAAGCGUUCUUUAAGAAAUCUUCUAAUCUCAAAUGAUUGUAAGGGAAUGUCGUCCUUUUAACAGACAAAACAGAGGUUUACAGAAUAGAGAAUACUGGGCCAAGAUUAGAGAAAAAUAGGUGAAAAGUAAAGAACAGAGAAAAAUGGUUCCAAUAAAUUAAGAAUAGAGAAUAUUUAAUUGGAUGCUAAAAUAUAAGGAAUGGAGAAUAAUGGGCAAAAAAUACGAAGAAUAGAGAAAAAUUACCUUAAAAAUUAAAGAAAUUACAGAAAAGAAAACUUAAAGAAAUUACAGAAAAGAAAACUUAAAGAAAUUAAAAACCAAUUGUUCAGAGAACAAUUGAAGGUCUUUCCACCCAUGAAGAUCAAUUUUGAUAUAGAACUAUAAAAAUUCAGUUUGAUAUAUCAUAUCCAGCGUCAAAUGAUAGCUUAUUGUACACUGAUUCCAAAAAUAUAUGGUUUCUAUACAUUUUUUUUCUAAAUAAGGGAGAUAAAUUGUUACUUUCGGUUUGAAAUAUGUCACUUCCGGUUGUAUUUGAUAGUUUACUUGAUACUGAUUCCAAAAAUUUAUGGUUCAAUAUACUUUAUCAUUAAAUAAGUACAAAAAAUAGCUACUUCCGGUUUACACCAGGUCACUUCCGGUUGGCUUUUCCAUGGUCAAGUGUCUUGCAUCGUAAUGCAAAAAGUCCCAUGGCUUUAUCAUGUAUACAUAUGAGGUAAAAGCAAAGGUCAAAAUCUAGAACGUCAAUUUUACCUAUGACCUUGAGUUCAUGUCGCAACUUACAAUUUAGUAAAAAUAUGUUGUCGAUAUCUUAUACGGUUUUUGAAAAGAAUUGAAAAAAAGCCAAAAUCAAAAUUUAAAAUAUGACCUUGACCUCUGACCUUGACCUAAUUUUCUUUUUUUUUUGGUCAAGAACCUCAAAUCAAAAGAUCCUAUGUCUCUAUCACUUAUGGUUUACAAGAUAGAAAUGCAUAUCACUUAUAUCACAUGCAUAAGGGGAAAUAACUCUCAUAUGGAGUGUUCAUAUCGCUUCAGUCAAAAUAGGACAAAUCAUGCGAAGGAUAUAACGAGAAAUUUUAUAAAAUAAAUUUGUCGCUUUCUUUUGCGGUUACGGAGGAGAUGCAGUCACAAGGAAAACAGUGUUCGGGGAGAUAACUCUUACAAAGAAAAUUGUUCUGCUUACAAUGGGUAAAAAUAAAAAGCGCAUAAACUGUAUGAUACUAUAUAAAAAAUAUCUUAGCGACAUAUUGUGAAACAAAAAUUUUACGCGAGAACAAAAUUUGGCGGAAGAAAAUAA